GCGCGAAAACUUUACAAUGCUGGCAACAGCGAUAAGGGAACCUCGAGUGCCAGGUUACAAAUCUGGCUGUCGUGAUGCCUAAAAAGCAUUGCAUAGCAAGGGCCGGGCAAGACCGGUGCCAGCCGCCGCGGUAACACCGGCGGCUCGAGUGGUAACCGUUAUUAUUGGGUCUAAAGGGUCUGUAGCCGGCCGGAUAAGUCUUUUGGGAAAUCUGGCAGCUCAACUGUCAGGCUUUCAGGAGAUACUGGCUGGCUCGAGGCCGGGAGAGGUGAGAGGUACUUCAGGGGUAGGUGUGAAAUCUUGUAAUCCUUGAAGGACCACCAGUGGCGAAGGGGUCUCACGAGAACGGACCGGACGGCAAGGGACGAGAGCUAGGGGGACGAACC
rnacentral:rRNA from 1 species